rnacentral:rRNA from 1 species
GGAGCAUGUGGUUUAAUUCGAUGCAACGCGAAGAACCUUACCAGGGUUUGACAUGAUACGAAUUUCUUUGAAAGAAGAAAGUGCCGUUUGGAACGUAUACACAGGUGGUGCAUGGCUGUCGUCAGCUCGUGUUGUGAAAUGUUGGGUUAAGUCCCGUAACGAGCGCAACCCCUAUCCCUAGUUGCUAGCAGUUCGGCUGAGAACUCUAGGGAGACUGCCGGUGACAAACCGGAGGAAGGUGGGGAUGACGUCAAGUCAUCAUG